AGCAGCCGCGGUAAUUCCAGCUCCAAUAGCGUAUAUUAAAGUUGUUGCAGUUAAAAAGCUCGUAGUUGAAUUUCGGGAUCAAUUAAUCGGUCGUGCCUCUGGUACGCACUGGUUUUAUUGGUUUCUCCCUUCUGACGAACCAUGAUGUCAUUAAUUUGGUGUUAUGGGAAAUCAGGACUGUUACUUUGAAAAAAUUAGAGUGUUUAAAGCAGGCAUUAGCUUGAAUACAUUAGCAUGGAAUAAUGAAAUAGGACGUUCGAACCUAUUUUGUUGGUUUUUAGGAUCAACGUAAUGAUUAAUAGGGAUAGUUGGGGGCAUUAGUAUUCAAUUGUCAGAGGUGAAAUUCUUGGAUUUAUUGAAGACUAACUACUGCGAAAGCAUUUGCCAAGGAUGUUUUCAUUAAUCAAGAACGAAAGUUAGGGGAUCGAAGACGAUCAGAUACCGUCGUAGUCUUAACCAUAAACUAUGCCGACUAGGGAUCGGAUGAUGUUAAUUUUUUAAUGACUCAUUCGGCGCCUUACG
rnacentral:rRNA from 1 species